rnacentral:lncRNA from 1 species
UUAAAUUGAAACUAGAAAAAAAUCAAUUGAAAAAACUAAAUUAAGAAAAAAAACAAAAUAAUCAAUUAGAAAACCCAAAAAAUAUUUCAGUCCAACUUUAGUUUCAAAAUUCUAAAACUAAUUGAAUUGGACUAGUUCAACCAACAUUAAACCAUACUAUAUAAAACUAAUAAGUAUAAAAAAAAAUCCUAAAAUUAAACCUCUCCUCAC